GAUGAACGCUGGCGGCGUGCCUAAUACAUGCCAGUCGAGCGAACAGACGAGGAGCUUGCUCCUCUGACGUUAGCGGCGGACGGGUGAGUAACACGUGGAUAACCUACCUAUAAGACUGGGAUAACUUCGGGAAACCGGAGCUAAUACCGGAUAAUAUAUUGAACCGCAUGGUUCAAUAGUGAAAGACGGUUUUGCUGUCACUUAUAGAUGGAUCCGCGCCGCAUUAGCUAGUUGGUAAGGUAACGGCUUACCAAGGCAACGAUGCGUAGCCGACCUGAGAGGGUGAUCGGCCACACUGGAACUGAGACACGGUCCAGACUCCUACGGGAGGCAGCAGUAGGGAAUCUUCCGCAAUGGGCGAAAGCCUGACGGAGCAACGCCGCGUGAGUGAUGAAGGUCUUCGGAUCGUAAAACUCUGUUAUUAGGGAAGAACAAAUGUGUAAGUAACUAUGCACGUCUUGACGGUACCUAAACAGAAAGCCACGGCUAACUACGUG
rnacentral:rRNA from 1 species